rnacentral:rRNA from 1 species
GACGAACGCUGGCGGCGUGCCUAACACAUGCAAGUCGAGCGGAGGCGGAGGAGAGCCCAGCGAUGGGAAGGAGACUGCUUUAGCGGCGAACGGGUGAGUAACACGUGGGCAAUCUGCCCUCUGGAGCGGGAUAACAGACCGAAAGGCCUGCUAAUACCGCAUGAGGCCGUACUCUCGCAUGGGAGAACGGUCAAAGGGGAAACCCGCCGGAGGAGGAGCCCGCGUCCCAUUAGCUAGUUGGCGGGGUAACGGACCACCAAGGCGAUGAUGGGUAGCCGGCCUGGGAGGGUGAAAGGCCACAUUGGGACUGAGACACGGCCCAGACUCCGACGGGGGGCAGCAGUGAGGGAUUUUCGGCAAUGGGCGAAAGCCUGACCGAGCGACGCCGCGUGAGCGAAGAAGGCCUUCGGGUCGUAAAGCUCUGUCUAGGGGGAAGAACGGCCAGGAGAGUAACUGCUCUUGGAGUGACGGUGCCUGAGAAGAAAGCCCCGGCUAACUAC